CCCUCUGCGCCAAUCGGAGGCGCCCAGCCUCGGCCCCGCCUCCCGGCGAGCCGCCCGCGCACGCGCCGUAGGCCGAAGUGGGCGGGGCGGCCCGAGGAGCGCGCGCCAUGCAGGCCAGCGGGUACACGGCUGCCGCCCUCGGCCAGGCCCGCGCCCCCGUCCAAGUGUCUGUUAUCCUCCCGGUCCAUGACGCUGAACCGUGGCUGGACGAGUGCUUGGGGUCUGUUUUGCAGCAGGAUUUCGAAGGCUCCAUGGAGCUUUCCAUUUUUAAUGAUGCCAGUAAGGACAAGUCUAUGACUAUCAUUGAAAAAUGGAAAGAGAAGCUGGAAGGUUCCGGCAUCCUUGUGGUCAUUGGAGGGCACGAUUCUCCUUCUCCCCGAGGAGUCGGAUAUUCUAAAAAUCAAGCCAUAGCACAGAGCUCAGGAUCUUACCUUUGCUUUUUGGAUUCGAAGAUCUUCUUGGCUGUAGACUAUUAUUUCCUUCAUUUGCAAGUGGUCUGUCCUGCCCCUCACCCAUCCUGGGCGUUGGUCAUCCCUGGGAGUCCACAGACUCGCUCCCUCAGGACCACCCUCCACUCAGAAGCUGCAGAACUCAAAGAUGACGACGUGAUGAUGCCUCAGAGGGUGAGGCUGCAACACGCAGCUGCUGUGCGACACCCAACAAGUAUCAUCGGUUGCCAAGUGAGGAGGGAGCCCCCCAACUCCACCGAGCGAUACACGCGGUGGAUCAACCAUCUGGCGCCCGACCAGCUGCUCACCCAGGUGUUUACCUCCAAUGGCCCCACUGUGAUCAUGCCCACCUGGUUCUGCUCCCGAGCCUGGUUCUCCCACGUGGGCCCAUUUGACGAGGGCGGGCGGGGUGUCCCCGAGGACUUGCUGUUCUUCCACGAACACCUGAGGAAGGGCGGCGGGCUCGUCCGCGUGGACCAGAGCCUGCUUCUCUACCGCUACCACCCCGGCGCGGCCACACACUCCAUCCUCGAGACCACCAUCUGGACCCACCGCGUCCGCUUCCUGGAAGAGUGGGCCCUGCCCCACUGGGCAACCUUCACCAUCUGGAAUGCGGGCCGGCAGGGCCGCCGGCUCUACCGCAGCCUGACGGCAGGGUCACGGUGCAAGGUGGUCGCCUUCUGCGAUGUGGACGAGAACAAGAUCAAGAAGGGCUUCUACUGCUACGAGGACUCUCAGGAAAGGCCCAAGCCCCGGGUCCCGGUCCUGCACUUCCGAGCUGCACAGCCACCCUUUGUCAUCUGCGUGAAGCUGGUGAGUGUCAGGCUGGGGCAUGUGUGGCUGGGACAGCCCCAGGGUCAGGAGGUGGUAUGUUGUGUCCACCAGGAAGCUGUGGGCUAGGACGGGAGGUGAUGACUGCCGCUCUGGGGGGCCAGGAGAGUGAUCCGCAUGGGGGUGGGGACAGGAGACAACAGGGCCACCUCCAGCCAGGCCUGGGGUGUCGGGGAGGUGGCGGCGAUGGUGCCCCAUGAGGCAGGUUGCAUUUCCCAUGAGAGCUGUAGGGGACAAGGACGCCCAGAAGCACCUGCGCCGACACUGCAUCCCCCCAAUCCCUGCCAAGUGACUGCCGUCCCAGCGGUUUUCUCCAUCAACCCCUUGCCUUUUCUCCCUAUUUGCGGCCAUGCAGGACAGGUGCUCGUUUCUUGGCUCUGGGCCCAACGCUGGGGUCCUGCAGAGAGGCCCCUGUGCUUGAACUCCCUCCUUCCCUGAGUGGGUUCCGUUUCCUGGUGUGCAAGUUCCCACCACGAAGCCUGCUGGUGGGCUCUGGUGAUGGGGACGUUCUCCUGAUUUUGGAGCCCUCACCCCCGCCCUGCUGGCCUGUCCAUCUCUUCUCCUUGGUUUCUGGGAGCUCUGCAUUGAGUGGUGCUGGCCCUUGGUCGACUAGUGUUUAGCAGAUGUUUUCUCCCAGUUGUGACUUGUCUUUUCACAGGUUCUUCCCAGAAAAACUUAAUUUUAUUUAUGCAUGCAUGCAUGCAGCGCUGGGUCGUGGUUGCGGCAUGUGGGAUCUUUUAGGUGCGGCAUGCGAACUCUUAGGUGCAGCAUGCCUGUGGGAUCUAGUUCCCCGACCAGGCUCCCUGCAUUGGGAGAGUGGAGUCUUACCCGCUGGACCACCAGGGAAGUCCCGCAAAAAGCUUAUUUUUAACACAGUACAUUUAUCAAUUUUUCUCUUGUGAUGAACACUUUUAGUGUCCUUUUAGUCCUGUUUUGGAAAUUCCUCCCCGUGGUCAGAAAGAUUAUCACAAAUGCAAGUAUAAAGUGUCCUUAAUCCACCAGGACUACAGGGCCCAGGUUGGCUCAUGUGGGGCGGGGCUGCCCCAAAGGGUCAAGAGGGGACAGUAGUGGAUGGGUGAGCAGGUCCCUGUGCUGUGCCACUGGGGACGUGGGAUGACGCGUAGUUGGGGACACAGGCCACUGCUUCCAGCAGUUUCCAGCCUCUGAGGUUGAAACCUUGGUAAACAGGGUGCCAGGCCAGAGGCCUUCCUGGAGGCAGUGGCUUUAGCGGAAGGGAAGCAGGUGCACGUUCAUUUGCCAGCGUUCCCCAACAGCAGUGGGGAACCAAGCAGAACAUGCCUCUCACCCCACAUCAGGUGCAGACUCUCACCAGCCUUGGGCUCAGGGAGCCUGCGGCCCCUACGCACGUUCAUAGCAAAGGUGGCUCCACGUGUACGUGGAGGGUGCCAGAGAAGGGGGAGCCCUCUGUUGGUGGCUGUUUUUAAGAUCCCAGACCCCCUUCUGCACUGACUGGUGUUACUCACAGCUUCUAACUGCGGUUUGCCGUGUGGCCCAGGCGCCUGCACAGGGGCCCCACCAGGCCAGUGCAUCCUGAUGGGGACCGUCACCUCCCCGAGGCUGUGCUCCCAUGGGGCCCGAGCUCAGACACGGGGGACAGCGGGCGUUGUAGCGUGUUGGUCGGGGCCAUGCAGGGCCGGAGAACAGGCUGGAUGUCCUGAUUCUGCCCCUCGCUUGAGUUGCCACUUUGGAGAAGCCACCCAACUGUCGGGAAAACGGGCGUGAGAACAGGCUGGCCCCAGGAGCCUGGCGCCAGGAGUGGCCUCAGGGUCCCAGCUGGUCCCUGCAUGGCCAGGCCCAGCCCUGAGCUCCAGCCCCACAGAAACUGUGAGGCAGUAGAGGUGUGGUUUCCUCUGCUCAGUUGGUGGAGACUCUGCACGGCCACAGGUGAGCUGAACACUUGGACCAGAACAGAAUCCCAUGGGCACAACAGGCUUUGUCAGUUUGAAUGAGGCCGUGUGAAAAUUCAGGUCAGAUUUCCAUGUGGACGUGUUUUCAGUUCUCUCGGACGCAGAGCUGGGGUGGAAUCACUGGUCUUAGGGUGACUUAUGCCCCCCCACCCCCCGCUGCCCAAAGGUUCCAGUUUCUCGUAUCCUUGCCCACCUCGUGACAUGUUUGUUCGUCAAGGCCAUCCUGGUGGAUGAGCGGCUCUCACGGCGGUUUCCGUUUGCGUCUCCCUGACAACGGAGGACGUGGAGCAUCUGUUAGCCACGUGUCUGCCUCCUGUGGAGAAGUGUCUGUUCAGGUCCUUCACCCAUUUUCUAAUCGGGCUCUUUGUCUUUUUGUUGAGUCCUCAGAGUUCUCUGUAUUUCUAGACUCAAGUCCCCAACUGGAUGCAUUGGCAAAUAUUUUCUCCCAUCCUGUGGGCUGUCUUUUCAUUCUCUUGACGGUGUCCUUUGAUGCACAAAAAGUGCUUAACUUUGAGAAAGUCCAUUUUAUCUAUUUGUAAUUUGAUUUCUGUUUUGGGUGUCAAGGCUAAGAAACCACCACCCAAUCUAGAGUCAUGAAGAUUUACCCCUGUGCUUUUUUCUUAAGGGUUUUAUGGUUUCAGCUCCUUCUUGUAGGUCUUGGACCCAUUUUGAGUUGCUGUUUGUGUGUGGGGUCAGGUAGGGGCCAGCUUUGUGCUUUUGCAGGUGGCUGUACACUGAGUGUCCCAGGGCCAGGCAGCCGGGUGGCUCCAGUCCCAACGUGUCACCUUGAGGUUUUCUUGUUUGACUGUUUGCCAGCUUGAACCUGCAUCAUUUAACUGUCACUACAUAACAAACUAGCCUCAAACAGCACAUGUUUACUUCCUCACGUUUCUGUGGGUCAUAAGUCCAGGCACCACAGGUGGCUUUCAGCUUCAGGUGAGCGUGGUGGUGUCUGCCGGUGAUGAUGUCUCAUCAAGAGGCUCGCCUGGGGCAGACCUGCUUCCAAGCUCUCAUGGUCCUUGGCAGGAGUCAGAUCUCCAGGGUGUUGGCCGAGGGCCUCAGUGCUUUGCCGGCUGUUUGCUCUGCAGGCCCGCCAACCAUGGCAGCUUAUUCUGUGAAAGCCAGCAAGGGGCAGGGUCAGUAGCAAGACAUACGUCACACUAACGUGUGACCUAAUCACAGAAGUGACAUACCAGGGAAGGGGGUUCCACGGGAUGUGGGUGCAAUGAGGCAGGCUCGUGGCCAUCUGGGGCCUGCCUGCCACAGGGACAGACCCACCUGGCUUUGGGUUUCCUGGUUUGAAAGCAGUUUCCUAAGAGGCCAAGACAAUGUUCAAGUUGCCAGGGGAAUUGGGUGAAUGAUUACGGGGCUGCAAGGAACCGUUGUAAAAUGAAAGUUUUAAUUCUACACAAAUGAUACCUAGCUUUUCAGAGAUAGGCUCUCUUAAGGGUCUACUUCUCAGGGACCCGAAGUUGCCACGAAGGGAACACCCCCACCCAUGCAAACCCUUCCCAGAGAGCAGACUUUGGGUGGGAAGGAACCCAUCCCUGUCACCCACUUUGUUUCCUUAGAGGGUCUAGAGGUAGAAACACAAAGGUGUAUGUGAUUUUUCUUUUUAACACACAGCAGCACGUUAUACAUACUUCUUUGUUUCGCUUUUUUCGCAUAAUAGUAUAUCUUGGAGUUAAUUCCAUAUAAAUCCGCUGGUGCCACCCAACUCUGUUACCUUUUUAGGAAGGAAACUUUCCAGCACGUUUCAGCCAAAGCAAAGAAGCCAGCCCCAAGCCCCAACUCCCCCAACCUGGGAGCGAGGCAAAUUCUAGCCUCAUUUCUUCAUUAUUGUUUCCUGAAAAGAUUAAAAGCUAAAAAAACUACCAUAAUACCACUAUGUCACCCCAAAUUUCCAGAUAUCCCAUCAGUGUUGAAAUCUCUCUAACUGCCUUGUAGACAUGUUCUAUCUUUUCAUACUUGCCUGUUGGAAUGCAGACCCAGUGUGACCUUUGUCCCCCUCACUUUCUUACAAUCUGUUUGUUGACGAAACCGGCUUGUGGUUUAACGUGUUUCCCGAGGCUCAGGUCCAGGGUCCGUUCUGCUCGCAGGAACACCUUCAUCGCUGGCUGCAGGAGCUUCUGAGGGAUUCAUGUACCUCACUUAAAAAACAUCUGCAUCCCACACGAUUAUAUGGGUGUUUCAUACAUUUAUUAUCCAGUUACUUAUCGAUGUACCUUUAGGCCAGUUUUACUGUUCACCGUUAGGAAUAAUGCUGCCGUGGAUAUCUUUAUAUGUGCAUAAUUUUGCUCAAGUGGCUACACAUAUGGGAUAAAUGUCUGAAAGGUGCUGGUCAAAGAAUGUGCCCACCAUCAGUCGUGAGACCAGCCAUUCUGUCCCUGGAGGCUGAGCCAGUUCACAUACCCUGCCCCCACCAUGACCCUUCUCCAGCGCUGUGACCAAACCUUCCACCUUUGCAAACCACAGGUGAAAAACAAUAAGUUUAUGGUUCCAGUUGGCAAUGUCACAUUGUGAGUAAGGAGGGCAUCUUUUCGUGUAUUUGUAUUCAUCUUUAUUUCCCUUUUGGUACCUUAUCCUUGUCAUUGGCCCAUUUCUCUAUUGGUCUCUAAGUAUUUUUCUUUAUACAGUAACAGAAACAAACUACUGUCUGUGAUGUUGCAGAUUUUUGUGUCAUUUAACUGAAUUUAUAUCUUUUGCCAUUUAGAAGUUUGUUAUUUGGAUAUAAUCAAAUUAAUUUUUCCUUUUAUGGCUUUUGGGGGUUUUAUUCAUUCUAAGACAAUCAUUUCUCACUGUGAUAUUUAAAAAAACAUUAUCCAAGUCUGGUCCUCAGACUCCUGUUUUAUCCUUAUAUUUUUGGUACAACUGGAAUUUAUUUUGUUAUAAGAUUAUCAUAGGGAUCCAGACUUUCUUCUUUCUGUUUGGGUCCUCAGUGGUCCUAACAUCAUUUGGUGAGAAACCCUCAUCUUCUCCAGUCAGGAAAUGGCGUCUGUGUGUGUUGGGUAUGCAUGUGGAUUUGGCGCUGUUUCUGGAGUCUUGGCCUUUUUCUACGCAUCUGUCAUGGACCAUUACUGACUAUAGCUUUAUGAUGUUCACCACUGAGUAAGGAUAGUCUUCCUUCAUUAUUCUUUUUAGAACUUUUCUCACGUUUUUCUUGUUUGAAUAAACUUUAUUGAAUUCUUAACACCUUCAGAAAAUGGCCUAAGUGUGGCCCACCAGCUGCUUCUGUAAAUAAAGUUUUACUAGAACACAGAGGACGUAUGGCCACAAAGCCAUAAAUGCUAACCAUCUGCCCUUUAAGAAAACUCUGUGGCCUCUGUUCCAGAACCGGCUGCACAGUUUAACAGGCGACAUGCCCUCCCCCAGCGCCGCCCGAUUCUGUACUUGCUCCGCUAAUCCGUUUGGUGCAGAGUGCAUGUCUGCGGGCCAUGUGAGAGUUGGCUGUGUUUCUGGGGGUCCGGUCUCCUCCAUGUCAUGCUUGAGGCCUGCUUUCCUCUUCCCGUUGGCGCUUCGGGACCCAGCCGUGGGCAUCACACCAGAGCUUCUCAUGGAGGGUCCUGACGCUCUUCACGGGUCGUGGGGUAGCCAUGUCUUCUGCUUCGCUAGACAACGCCCAGGAGGCCAGGCCAGGGGACACGCCCAGAGGCAGGGAGGGAGGGGUCCCUCUAGGCCUCACGACUGGACUGUGGGGUUCAUUUCCAUCUGAUCCCUGCUGAGGCCAAGACCUUUCCCGCAUCUGUCAGGCGUGUGGAUUUCCUGUGUCCUGAUGUUUCUGAUCAGCUUCUUGUCCACGGGAUUGUGUGUCUUCUCCUCACCCGAGGAGUCCUCUGUACCCUCUGGGUUCUAGUCCUUGUUGGUUUCACGUCUGACCUUUUUAAUUCUCUUAAGGGGGUGUGUCCACUCAUGGACACAUGAGUACCUUCCCGGUGGCCCCUUUACAAGCCCAGGUCUGUGGCUGGGCUGGCCCUGAACCCACGUGUAUUUCCUUUGAAAACUUGGAAGCAGAGAGAGAAUGGGAGGAGAAAACGGGGGCUAAGAACAGACAGCAGGUAGAGGACAGAAUGUGGAAAUUUCAGGUGUUUUCCAGGUAGAAUGGUUUUCAUUUAAAUACUUCUACCAAAGGCCAGGUAACAGCAGUAAGAGGAGCAGAAACAGCCCAGGACAAGGGUGAUUCCCUGUGUUGGGCCCAAGGACAGACGGAUGACACCCAACAGGAAGGAGUGUGGUGGUCAGGCAGCCCCUCCCACGUCCUGGCAGAGAGGCCCCCGCUUUGUUGGUUAUGGAGGCAGGAGGGGACCUGGCAGGUGGCGCUGGGACAAGGGACAGGAGCCUGCAGAUGUUUCCUGAAACCCCGCCGUGGCCCCGCACAGGAGGGCGGCCGAAGCAGCACCAGUGCACGGGCCCAGCUGAAGAGUUUGGGGACCCACCCCCAAGUCCCGCACCAACAAGGGUACAGGGAAGACGUGGGCAGGGACUGCCUUCGGUCUCGGCCGUGGGGGUGGGUACGGAGCAGGAGGCGGGAGCUGGCUGUUGGGUCACAGUUUCUGUCCCCAGGGCUGCCUCCCACCUGUGGCCCUGCAGAGGCCAUGGGGGUGGGGCAAGGGGGCCACCAUGGAGACCCCAGGACCAGUCAGGACAGGGGAAGCUGGCUCUGCCCUGGACCAAGAAAUGAGCGGAAGGGACUGCCCAUGAGCCUCACCUCCUCCCCCGAGUCCCCGCGGGGGGCCAGCUGCCUCGUGCGGGGAGGGGCCGAGGCCAGGCUGGUGGAGGCACCUCAGAGGACCCCCUGCCCCCAGCCUCCCUGGUGACCUAUGGGACAUUGUGGCCAACUGCCAACAGGUUCCCUUCCGGCACUUUUCUCCUUCUGGACCCUCUCCUUUUAGCAGUGGAGCCGAAGUUCAUAGUGGACCACCUAACAGGUGGCCACAGGCAACCCCAAACCCCAGGCCCCCAAGGGAGGCUCUUGGGGUCCCCAGUGCAGGCCAGGGGAGGCCUGGAUAGAGCCAGACCUGUCGCUCCUCCCCCAGGACCUCACAGGGGGCGCAUUUGAAGACAAUCUGAGGUCGCUGCACCUGCAGGAGGGCCGGGAUUUCCUUCACUUCAGCUGACAGACCCAUGGCAGCUGCUCCCAGCUGUACUAGCUUCAGUCCAGCCGAGGUGAAUGGUUUUCUCUCAGCUCGAUGAGGAUCUCCUUCCAGUGUUAAGUCCACUGUUGCCAUCCAAGAGGGGCAGCUGCCCGGACCACCCAGUCUCCCAGCAGUUCUGCUGCAACAUGUCCAGACGUGAGCUUGUCCUGUUUGGGAUCUUGCUUCUACCACCAAGUAUGUGGCACCGUCUCCCGAGACCCCAGCUGCACACAGGGCAGGUUCUCUGGUGUCUCUUGACUUUGUUUUCAUAUUUUCCAGUUGUUUUUCUGGAUAAAACUCCUUCAGAUCUUCCAGUUCCCCAAUUCUCUCUUCAGCCAUGUCUAGGUGGUUGUUUAAUUCAUCCAUUGAGCCUUUUUCCCCCUAAUUUCCUCUUGAUAAUUUCUAACCCUUUUCAAAACUGAAUUCAUUUUAUAUUUUGUGUCUUUUGGGGUCUGAUUUUAUUAAGGUCUUGCCAAUGGUGCCUUUUUUCUUUGUGCAUUUUGUGCAAUUUGGGGAUGUGAGCUUAUGUUCCUCUCUCUGUAGGGCUCAGCCUGCGUCCUUCCAGAGAGGGUUUUGUUUGCCUCCUCUGCCCAGUGUCUGUCAGCACCACUGGUUGGGGGCCAUUGUGAUCACAUUCCUCUCCACCAGCACUGGGCAGAGACCAAGACAGAUGUGCUCCUGUGGGGACCUACUUCUCACUCUCCUUGCUGCUGAGGGUACAGCUAUUUAGGGCCCCAGCUGUAUGUGGGGUCUGCUACUAGAUUUGGCCCUGGGCCUUAUGCUGUCACAUCCACACUUCCCAGCCAGCCUCCAGGGCUCAGCAGACAUGGAUCCUGGGGACGCCAGGGACCUGCUCACUGGGAUGGUUCCCUCUGUGUCUGGGACAUGGCCAUGUGCUCACGGCCACACCGCUGCCCUCACAUAUCCUGUUUCAGGCACGAGGCUUCUUGCGGCUCUUCAGACCCACCCACCUCACUCCCACUGGGGCCACAGGUGCCCUUCUCUGCCCCUUUCGGGGGGGGGGGGUCUCCUGACCACUCCCUCUACCAGGUGGCAGCCCAGCACUGUCCACCCACCCCGAAUUGCUUCAGAUCACUGCUUUCCACGAUGUCCACCUCUGCUGUUGUCUGCUUCUGGCCACGUCGUCAGUCAUGAGGGGGGACUCCCCACAAAGCCGUCACCUGGACCCAGAUGGACUCCAAACGAAGGAGGAGGUUCCCAGCCACCAGGCGCCUGAUGAGAACAGGUGCUGACCAGUAGGAUCUGACAUGGCCGAAGGUGUGCAGGGGCAGCUGGACACUGCCGGCUUUGUUGGUUUUCCUCGGGUUGCAAAGGUAGACCAGCAACGGAAGAAUUGCUUCAUGACACAGUAUCAUCAAUGUGGUAAACUGGCCUGUCUCCAUGUCUCAGAGACCAUGUCUCUGCAAUCUUGGUGUUUUUAAAAAAUUAUGCUAAAAACAUUUCAUUUUAUUCCUUCUCAAAAGCUCCUUGCUUGGUUUUCUCAGCCAAGGUCUAGGUGCUGCUCUGUGGACCCCGCCUGCUGCAGGGAUACAAGUGGGGCCUCCUGUGGCCACCCUGCAGGAGAGCCUUCCAACCAGCGUGGCCUCAUGUGGCCUGAGGCCGCCUGGCCAUCCAGAACCCCUCACCACGUGACAACGUCCACCAGCUAUGGGGCCUCUAGCUGUUCUUCCAUUGAAAAUGGAAAACUCUCUACUUAUUUUCAAGAGGAGACAUGUUUUAAGGCUUAAAUGAAAUUAAAGUUAAAACCUCACGCAAGACUAACAUGGGCUUCCACUCUCAGGGAAGGUCAGCGAUCCCGGCAUGUCCACUGGCUCAACUGGAGCAGGAGAAACUCACUUAGCAAAGGCAGCAGGAAAACACGUCUCAGGAUUGUACCAACACCACCUACGGUGGCCUCCAGCCGUGGACCCGUGGGCGCGCACGUCCCAGGAGGGGCGGUCUGUCCCGUGGCCCAGGUGCAGGAACACUAUCCUGGGCCCGUGGCUGGACGACUUCACCUCAGAUGUUCUACCUGCCCGUCCACAUCUGUCCUGCAUCCAGACCUCAACCCGUGAAGCAGCAGGUGGAAGGGUGGGGAUGGACCAGGAGCCUGCCACACAAAGGCUCCCGCAGGAGGCGGCCUGACCCCUCAGCACUGAGACUGGCCAUGCAGGUGCUCAAGUGGGGAACCUUUACACACAUCGGCCUCACUGCCCCCUGGACAGGCCAGCAUGAGUGCCAGCCCAUGUGGACAAAAGCAGCCUGUCUUUGCUUCAGAAACCCUGAGUGUGUACCCCAUUCUGGACAAAUGAAAAAAAAGGUUCAGACAAUGUGGUUCUUCUCCCGUCACCAGAGAACCACUUCCUGGAGGCCACAUGUCGGCAGAUCUAUGAAGCCACUGACCAUGCCCUGCUUCCGUUGAGGGUUUGAGCUGCUGUCACAAGUCCCCUUUGUGGCUGAACUGGUCCUGGUGGGAUUCUGAGAACACAGGUUGGCUCUUUCUGACUGAAUGAAACUGCACGAGGGCAGGUGACGUGCGUGCGACCGCAGUGCGCGCUGGGCACUAGAAUGGGGUGAUGAGGGAAGACAGCCCCCACCCGCGCUGCAAGAGAGACCCGGAGGCGGCCCACCCCCACCCCGAGGCAUGGCACCUUCUCUGCCCCUGCAGCAUCUGACAUGUAACGUGAGUCGCUCAGAGCUUGUCAGUGGCUACGAGCAAGCCCAACAAGGCCAUGGUGGACGUGGCGACAGGACAGCACACGGGAGGCUGCAACCGGCCUGUCCCCCCUGGGGCCACCCCUCCCAGCGGGUCUCGGUGCAGGAGCCUACAACCCCCUCUGGUUCCAGCUCCCCCACCGGCACCAGUGUCAGGCACAGGCAGAUACAGAGCUGCUCAGCAUGAUGAUUUUAUAAGUAAGACACAGGUUAGAGAUAGGACAAAUGCACCAACAGCCCAGGUCACUGUGGCACAGGAUGCAUGGAAGGAAAUGCCACCUCCAGGUGAUGAACUCCAGGUCCCUCACACGCACCAGCCAGACCGCCGCCGUCCGUCCAGGUCUUCCAUGCCGACCAUGCCCGGGCUCCUCCUCCCAGGCAGGCAGAGGCAAGGACUCAGCUUCCCGGACUGGCCUCAGCGGACACUGGGCUGCGGAGGACACAUGACAGGGUCAGGCCGGUCAGCGCCGUCUCCCCAGCCCUCCCUGGGUCACGCUUCCUGCAGGAAACUGCAUCUGUGCCGCUUCCCCGAACAUGCCAGGAGCCCCGUGGCCAACACAACCUCUGGGCAGCAAGCAGGUGGGGAGGGUGACUAUACUGUUCCCCCAACUUCAUCUAUCUGUGCGACAUUUUCCUAAUGUAGAAAGCACGUUUCCUUAGGAAGCCAGUGUUGUGUGUGGCUGUCACACAAGGAGAAGGGAGAGUUGACACUUGGCCUGCCAGCCAUCCCUGUCACCCACAGUGUCACCUGGAGGCCGACCAGAGCUGCCCUCAGCCCGCAUCUGAGGGGGUCCUGUAGGGGCCCCAGAGAAGGGCCAGGCAAGGCAGACACUAGUACAGCAUGAUCGGGGGGGAGGAAAGGGGGAAAAAGACAUCACCUCAGAAAUAACUUAGCCACAAGGAGAACAGAGAGUUAAGAGCACAGUGAAGAACUGAAGGACAAUGAAGAGAGAGGCGGCUGAACGGAAGGCAGGCCAUGACCAUCUGGGCCCUGGGAAGGAAGGGCACCGCAGCCAGAGCCCUCCGCCCGGUGCCACCCGUCCUGACUGCCGUAUGUGGGGAAGGAAUGCUGUCCUGAUGGGCAGUCACUAACAAACAGCAGGAAAACUGCAGGAAGUUAACAGAAGGGGAAGUGAAAUGGUAAAAAUGUCGUUAACUGGGCUUCCCUGGCGGCACAGUGGUUGAGGGUCCGCCUGCCGAUGCAGGGGACGCGGGUUCAUGCCCCGGUCCGGGAAGAUCCCACGUGCCACGGAGCGGCUGGGCCCGUGAGCCAUGGCCGCUGAGCCUGCGCGUCCGGAGCCUGUGCUCCGCAACGGGAGAGGCCACAACAGUGAGAGGCCCGCGUACCGCAAGGAAAAAAAAAGUCGUUAACCAGUCCAAACAAAGGCAAGAAAGGAGCAAAGAAACAAACAGGGUUGAACAGAAAAUGGAAAGAUGGCAAACAAACCCAGCAAAUCCAAACUCACACAUUAAAUGUAAGUGGACAAAACACUCCAAUUACCAAAAACGGUUAAACUGGAUUAAAAAGAGAUGAGGCCUAUCUACUGUUCAUAAGAAACACAUUUAAAUGUAGGAACACAGAAAUUGAAAGUGAAAUGAUUAAAAAAGAUAAACUACAUAAACACUGAUCAAAAACUGCGCUGUGGCUCUAUUAUAACACGAGACAAAGGGACUUCAGCCCCUCCUGUGGUUUCCCUGAGGAUGAGAACAAGAACCGGGAGGGGCUCUGCCCAGGACCUGCUGCUGCAGCAAGCACCCUGUGCUCUGGUUACUUAGCUCCUGUUCCCCCAACAAGGCUGCCUUCAUCAAAAAAGUACAAAAUACAACAAGAGGCAAGAAAAAGCAGUCUGAAGAGACAGUGCAAAUGUAAGAACCAGACUCAGAAACAGCAGAGACGUUGGAACUAUCAGACCAGGAAUUUGAAACAGCUGUGAUUAAUACGCCAAGGACCCUAGUGGACAAACUGGCACCACGCAGGGACAGACAAUGUAAGCAGCGGUGGAAGCACUGGAGACCACGAACACUGUAACUGAAACGGAUGCCUCGGACGGGCUUGUCCUAAGACCAGAUGUGGCCAAGGAAACAGUGAACUUGAAGACAGGUCAACAGAAACUUCCCAAACUGAAAGGCAAAGAGAAACAAAAAUGAAAAAAAAAGAAGAA